UACGUAGGACCCGAGCGUUGUCCGGAAUUACUGGGUGUAAAGGGCGUGUAGGUGGACCUCUCAGUCGGUGGUGAAAUCCUGCGGCUCAACCGCAGAACUGCCGCCGAUACUGGAGGUCUUGAGUACGGCAGAGGGAGAUGGAAUUCAUGGUGUAGCGGUGAAAUGUGUAGAUAUCAUGAAGAACACCGGUUGCGAAGGCGGUCUCCUGGUCCGUUACUGACACUGAGGCGCGAAAGCGUGGGGAGCAAACAGG
rnacentral:rRNA from 1 species